GGGUACAGGAAGAGCUUGCUCUUUGCUGACGACCGGCGCACGGGUGCGUAACGCGUAUACAAUCUACCUUGUACUGGGGUAUAGCCCAGAGAAAUUUGGAUUAAUCCCCCAUAGUACCAUUUUAUAGCAUUAUAUUAUGGUUAAAGGUUACGGUAUAAGAUGAGUAUGCGUCCUAUUAGUUAGUUGGUGAGGUAACGGCUUACCAAGACGACGAUAGGUAGGGGCCCUGAGAGGGGGAUCCCCCACACUGGUACUGAGACACGGACCAGACUCCUACGGGAGGCAGCAGUGAGGAAUAUUGGACAAUGGAGGUAACUCUGAUCCAGCCAUGCCGCGUGCAGGAAGACUGCCCUAUGGGUUGUAAACUGCUUUUAUACAGGAAGAAUUGCGAUCACGUGUGAUUGUUUGACGGUACUGUAAGAAUAAGGAUCGGCUAACUCCGUGCCAGCAGCCGCGGUAAUACGGAGGAUCCGAGCGUUAUCCGGAAUCAUUGGGUUUAAAGGGUCCGUAGGCGGGUUUAUAAGUCAGUGGUGAAAGUUUGCGGCUCAACCGUAAAAUUGCCAUUGAUACUGUAGAUCUUGAAUUAGUGUGAAGUGGUUAGAAUGUGUAGUGUAGCGGUGAAAUGCAUAGAUAUUACACAGAAUACCAAUUGCGAAGGCAGAUCACUAACACUAUAUUGACGCUGAGGGACGAAAGCGUGGGGAGCGAACAGGAUUAGAUACCCUGGUAGUCCACGCCGUAAACGAUGGAUACUAGCUGUUUGUUGCACUUUGGUGUGAUGAGUGGUUAAGCGAGAGUGAU
rnacentral:rRNA from 1 species